rnacentral:rRNA from 1 species
GUUUGAUCAUGGCUCACAACGAACGCUGGCGGCAGGCUUAACACAUGCAAGUCGAGCGCCCCGCAAGGGGAGCGGCAGACGGGUGAGUAACGCGUGGGAAUGUACCUUUUGCUACGGAAUAACUCANGGAAACUUGUGCUAAUACCGUAUGUGCCCUUCGGGGGAAAGAUUUAUCGGCAAAGGAUGAGCCCGCGUUGGAUUAGCUAGUUGGUGGGGUAAAGGCCCACCAAGGCGACGAUCCAUAGCUGGUCUGAGAGGAUGAUCAGCCACACUGGGACUGAGACACGGCCCANACUCCUNGGGAGGCAGCAGUGGGGAAUAUUGGACAAUGGGCGCAAGCCUGAUCCAGCCAUGCCGNGUGAGUGAUGAAGGCCCUAGGGUUGUAAAGCUCUUUC